rnacentral:rRNA from 1 species
UACGUAGGGGGCAAGCGUUGUCCGGAUUUAUUGGGCGUAAAGAGCGUGUAGGCGGCCAGGGAGGUCCGUUGUGAAAACUCGAGGCUCAACCUCGAGACGCCGAUGGAAACCCCCUGGCUAGAGUCCGGAAGAGGAGAAUGGAAUUCCUGGUGUAGCGGUGAAAUGCGCAGAUAUCAGGAAGAACACCCGUGGCUAAGGCGGUUCUCUGGGCCGAUACUGACGCUGAGGAGCGAAAGCGUGGGGAGCGAACAGG